rnacentral:lncRNA from 1 species
GGAGAAAGGUGGAAAAUAGUUCUGUAAUUGUUAAAAAAAAAGCAGUAAGUUUUCCUUGUUAAAAACCAAAAAGUUUUUCUUCUGUUGUUUCAAAGAGACAACAUGACAGAUUUGGGUAUUUGUUUUUAAGACUUACCCAAUUUCAACUACAGACUUACUUCCUUGCCACCUUCAAAACCAGAAAGAUAAUAUAAAAGGAUCAGUAUUUUGAGAUCAAGAAUAAAAAUUGAGAGUAUUUUAAGAUAAAAGAUUACAACAAAUCAAAGAAAUACAUGUAUUACUUUUAAGAUAUUUAACUUCAAUGGGCUGUUAACAUCAAUGAGAUAUAUUUAGGGUUUUCUAUGUUCAGUUCUAUAGGCAAUAUAGAAUGUGAGAGAAACAGCUGCAUCUGAAAUAGAUCAUCUGCUUUAAAAAAAAUCAUUUUGGUAGGUGUGGGUUGCUUGUCAGAAAUCUGUUCCGAAGCUUGAGUGCAAAGGAAGCAGGGUACUAAUGAUGAAUAAGAAUGGAUAUCUUGAGGAUAACAAUGGAUAUGGCAUCUUCAAAAGCAGUGGGAUUCUGGAUAUUUUCUAUGUUUAGUGCUGUUCACACUUGAACCCUGUCAAUAUCUUUAGUAUCCUUUUGAAGGGAGAGUGACCUGUACCUCAUAUGGGAUUUUUUUUUAUGGUAAGGU